rnacentral:rRNA from 6 species
UAUACCGUGAAACUGCGAAUGGCUCAUUAAAUCAGUUAUCGUUUAUUUGAUAGUACCUUACUACUUGGAUAACCGUGGUAAUUCUAGAGCUAAUACAUGCUGAAAACCCCAACUUCGGGAGGGGUGUAUUUAUUAGAUAAAAAACCAACGCCCUUCGGGGCUUCUUGGUGAUUCAUGAUAACUUUACGGAUCGCAUGGCCUUGCGCCGGCGACGGUUCAUUCAAAUUUCUGCCCUAUCAACUUUCGAUGGUAAGGUAUUGGCUUACCAUGGUUUCAACGGGUAACGGGGAAUUAGGGUUCGAUUCCGGAGAGGGAGCCUGAGAAACGGCUACCACAUCCAAGGAAGGCAGCAGGCGCGCAAAUUACCCAAUCCCGACACGGGGAGGUAGUGACAAUAAAUACUGAUACAGGGCUCUUUUGGGUCUUGUAAUUGGAAUGAGUACAAUUUAAACCUCUUAACGAGGAACAAUUGGAGGGCAAGUCUGGUGCCAGCAGCCGCGGUAAUUCCAGCUCCAAUAGCGUAUAUUAAAGUUGUUGCAGUUAAAAAGCUCGUAGUUGAAACUUGGGUCUGGCUGGCAGGUCCGCCUCACCGCGUGUACUUGUCCGGCCGGGCCUUCCUUCUGGAGAACCUCAUGCCCUUCACUGGGCGUGUUGGGGACCAGGACUUUUACUUUGAAAAAAUUAGAGUGUUCAAAGCAGGCCUUUGCUCGAAUACGUUAGCAUGGAAUAAUAGAAUAGGACGUGCGGUUCUAUUUUGUUGGUUUCUAGGACCGCCGUAAUGAUUAAUAGGGACAGUCGGGGGCAUCAGUAUUCAAUUGUCAGAGGUGAAAUUCUUGGAUUUAUUGAAGACUAACUACUGCGAAAGCAUUUGCCAAGGAUGUUUUCAUUAAUCAGUGAACGAAAGUUAGGGGAUCGAAGACGAUCAGAUACCGUCGUAGUCUUAACCGUAAACUAUGCCGACUAGGGAUCGGGCGAUGUUCUUUUUUUUGACUCGCUCGGCACCUUACGAGAAAUCAAAGUU